GGACCCGUGGCAGCAGUGGUAGCUCAUUGUGCUUAUAAUUCGACAUCUCACCAAUUUUGGUGGGAGUCCCUAUACGGAGACGCAACGGUCGCGAGUUCGAUCCUCGCCGGGUCCA
rnacentral:tRNA from 1 species